rnacentral:rRNA from 1 species
CAACUCUCAACAACGGAUAUCUUGGCUCUCGCAACGAUGAAGAACGCAGCGAAAUGCGAUACGUAGUGUGAAUUGCAGAAUUCCGUGAACCAUCGAAUCUUUGAACGCAUAUUGCGCUCGCGGCUUCGGCCAAGAGCAUGUCUGCCUCAGCGUCGUUUUGACCCCUCACUCCCAUACCUUUUUGGUAUCAUGCAUCAGGCUACGGCUUGAUGCUGGGUGUGGAUCUGGCUUCCCCAGGGCUUGCUCUGGGUUGGCUGAAGUGCAGAGGCUAGAGCACGGACCCAUAUGGGCGUCAACUGGAUAGGUAGCCCCCACGAAAGUGGAUCUACACGAAGUUGUCUGCCUGGGAAACGUGUUGGCGGCCAAACAGGAAACUUCUCUCACUUCGACCUGAGCUCAGGCAAGAUUACCCGCUGAACUUAAGCAUAUCAAUAAGCGGUGGAA